rnacentral:tRNA from 1 species
GCAUUGAUAGUGUAGGGGUAUCAUGAGUCGUUGCCACUCGUCACCUUUAUAAGGUGUGACUACCGAUUCGACUCGACCGGGGUUCGAGUCCCCGUCAAUGCA